rnacentral:lncRNA from 1 species
AGUCAUCAAACGGGCUUGAUACAUCCAAGCGGAGGAACUUCGAUCACUUACCAAACGACUUACCAAAAGACCGAGGGGGCGCGUUUAAUAACUGCAAGUGGAAUUCGAACAAUCAAACUUACAAUUCCAUUUAUUAGCCUUCUUUAUUGUGGCUGUCCUUUUUUUCCACAGGGGUAGAGAAAGCGCGAGAAAUAAGCGGAAGAACGGGCGAGGAGAGAGACAGAUAACGGAUCAAAGGUUCGAUGUUGAUGAUCUUUUUUUCCCAGAUUAUUGCUCUGAAUUUCUGCGGAUUCGGUUCAAAUCUGCUCUCCGAUUCGCUGUGACGUGUUGAGGGAGGGAAUGCGGGGGAUUACAGGUGCCGGUUGAUAUCUUCCUCCCUCUUCUUUCAUCAGAGAUCGCUCUUUUUGGACAUCUCCAUCGGUUCUGGGAUCGAUGUCUAGGCCUUAGAGCCUAAUCCGGUGAUGGUUUUAUCUGCCGCAAUUGCAAGGCCCAUGGGGUCCUUCGCGGUUUCUCGUCUCGCGGCCUGAAUUGCCCGGGGCAGUUGGAGGGAUUCCGGUAGAGAGUUGGGCAGUCGAAUAAGAUUUUUUGGCGGUUUUUGGAGGACGAAAGGUUGUAACGUGAGCAGGAAUUUGAUUAUGAUCUCCUUGUUGUUUGUUUCAUGGUUUCUGACGAAAAAAAUGUUUUUUGGGAUGCGUCAGCAUUUGCUUGAUUGUUGUAUUACUAGGGUUUGAGUUCGGCAAUAGAACGGGUGACCAGUUUUGAUUCUGUUUGUCUGCUUUUGGAGGGGUAGCUUCGUACUGUUGGCUGAAUUAGAGGCAAUUUGAGAAUUCUGGGGCCAGCAUUUGCUGUGGAAGUGCCUUGAGGGCACUCGAAUUUCCUGGAAUCAGGGUUUUUGAUUCACAUGGAGCCAGGGUUUGAAUCUGGAUUGCUUUGAAUGGUAAGAAUGUCGAGGAUAUUGGGGAGAAUUGAGGUUUUCUUUUUGUUGCCAUUAGAUGGGAGCUUUCUCUUGAUGCUUGUUAUAAACUUGGCUGGAAGAUUUCAAACUUAUUAUUUUUGUAUGUUUCAAUUGAAUUGCUGGUUGUUUAUUUACAAGAAUCAGCUGGUUCAUGGAAUUUCAAUAUAGGAUUCCUCAGGAUUCCAUACGAGAAGUAAGUUUAUUCAGCCUAGUAUUUGAAAGGUUCUGAAGAAGGCAUGAUACAGAUGCUGCUUGGUUGUUUCCUGAGAGGAAGCUGAGUUAUAUUUCAAUUGAGGUGGGUU